UACGGGGGGAGCAAGCGUUGUUCGGAUUUACUGGGCGUAAAGGGCGCGUAGGCGGCGCAACAAGUCACUUGUGAAAUCUCCGGGCUUAACUCGGAAAGGUCAAGUGAUACUGUUGUGCUAGAGUGCGGAAGGGGCAACUGGAAUUCUCGGUGUAGCGGUGAAAUGCGUAGAUAUCGAGAGGAACACCUGCGGCGAAGGCGGGUUGCUGGGCCGACACUGACGCUGAUGCGCGAAAGCCAGGGGAGCGAACGGG
rnacentral:rRNA from 1 species